GGCAGUAUGGUGUAUGGAAACACGCGGGAUUAUCUUGAACAGCUUCUUGUUGUAUAAAUUCCCAAAGUCCUUGUUCGACUCAAGGUACUGCUC